UCAUAUCAUGUUGAAAACACCAGUUCUCAUCACCAUUUAAGCAAUGUUGAGCCUGGUCAGUACCUAGAUGGGUGACCACUUAGGAAUACCAGAUGCUGUCAG